UGACGAACGCUGGCGGCGUGCCUAAUACAUGCAAGUAGAACGCUGAAGAGAGGAGCUUGCUCUUCUUGGAUGAGUUGCGAACGGGUGAGUAACGCGUAGGUAACCUGCCUUGUAGCGGGGGAUAACUAUUGGAAACGAUAGCUAAUACCGCAUAACAAUGGAUGACCCAUGUCAUUUAUUUGAAAGGGGCAAAUGCUCCACUACAAGAUGGACCUGCGUUGUAUUAGCUAGUAGGUGAGGUAACGGCUCACCUAGGCGACGAUACAUAGCCGACCUGAAAGGGUGAUCGGCCACACUGGGACUGAGACACGGCCCAGACUCCUACGGGAGGCAGCAGUAGGGAAUCUUCGGCAAUGGGGGCAACCCUGACCGAGCAACGCCGCGUGAGUGAAGAAGGUUUUCGGAUCGUAAAGCUCUGUUGUAAGUCAAGAACGAGUGUGAGAGUGGAAAGUUCACACUGUGACGGUAGCUUACCAGAAAGGGACGGCUAACUACGUGCCAGCAGCCGCGGUAAUACGUAGGUCCCGAGCGUUGUCCGGAUUUAUUGGGCGUAAAGCGAGCGCAGGCGGUUUGAUAAGUCUGAAGUUAAAGGCUGUGGCUCAACCAUAGUUCGCUUUGGAAACUGUCAAACUUGAGUGCAGAAGGGGAGAGUGGAAUUCCAUGUGUAGCGGUGAAAUGCGUAGAUAUAUGGAGGAACACCGGUGGCGAAAGCGGCUCUCUGGUCUGUAACUGACGCUGAGGCUCGAAAGCGUGGGGAGCGAACAGGAUUAGAUACCCUGGUAGUCCACGCCGUAAACGAUGAGUGCUAGGUGUUGGAUCCUUUCCGGGAUUCAGUGCCGCAGCUAACGCAUUAAGCACUCCGCCUGGGGAGUACGACCGCAAGGUUGAAACUCAAAGGAAUUGACGGGGGCCCGCACAAGCGGUGGAGCAUGUGGUUUAAUUCGAAGCAACGCGAAGAACCUUACCAGGUCUUGACAUCCCGAUGCUAUUUCUAGAGAUAGAAAGUUACUUCGGUACAUCGGUGACAGGUGGUGCAUGGUUGUCGUCAGCUCGUGUCGUGAGAUGUUGGGUUAAGUCCCGCAACGAGCGCAACCCCUAUUGUUAGUUGCCAUCAUUCAGUUGGGCACUCUAGCGAGACUGCCGGUAAUAAACCGGAGGAAGGUGGGGAUGACGUCAAAUCAUCAUGCCCCUUAUGACCUGGGCUACACACGUGCUACAAUGGUUGGUACAACGAGUUGCGAGUCGGUGACGGCAAGCUAAUCUCUUAAAGCCAAUCUCAGUUCGGAUUGUAGGCUGCAACUCGCCUACAUGAAGUCGGAAUCGCUAGUAAUCGCGGAUCAGCACGCCGCGGUGAAUACGUUCCCGGGCCUUGUACACACCGCCCGUCACACCACGAGAGUUUGUAACACCCGAAGUCGGUGAGGUAACCUUUUGGAGCCAGCCGCCUAAGGUGGGAUAG
rnacentral:rRNA from 1 species